CAGCAGCCACGGUAAUACGUAGGUCCCGAGCGUUGUCCGGAUUUAUUGGGCGUAGAGGGAGCGUAGGCGGUUUAGUAAGUCUGAAGUUAAAGGCAUUGGCUCAACCAAUGUAUGCUUUGGAAACUGUUAGACUUGAGUGCAGAAGGGGAGAGUGGAGUUCCAUGUGUAGCGGUGAAAUGCGUAGAUAUAUGGAGGAACACCGGUGGCGAAAGCGGCUCUCUGGUCUGUCACUGACGCUGAGGCUCGAAAGCGUGGGUAGCGAACAGGAUUAGAUACCCCUGUAGUCCCUGUCUCUUAUACA
rnacentral:rRNA from 1 species